GCCCAGGUAGCUCAGUUGGUAGAGCACGCGACUGAAAAUCGCGGUGUCGGUGGUUCGAAUCCGCCCCUGGGCACCA
rnacentral:tRNA from 2 species